rnacentral:rRNA from 1 species
GCUAAGAGAUGUGGCUUGCGGCACAUUAGUUAGUUGGUAAGGUAACGGCUUACCAAGACUAUGAUGUGUAGCUGGACUGAGAGGUUGAACGGCCACAUUGGGAUUGAGAUACGGCCCAAACUCCUACGGGAGGCAGCAGUAAGGAAUUUUCGGCAAUGGAGGAAACUCUGACCGAGCAACGCCGCGUGAACGAUGAAAUAUUUAGGUAUGUAAAGUUCUUUUAUUAAAGAAGAAAAAAUGAUGGAAAAAUCAUUCUGACGGUAUUUAAUGAAUAAGCCCCGGCUAACUAUGUGCCAGCAGCUGCGGUAAUACAUGGGGGGCAAGCGUUAUCCGGAUUUAUUGGGCGUAAAGGGUGUGUAGGCGGUUUAAUAAGUCUAUGGUAUAAGUUCAACGCUUAACGUUGUGAUGCUAUGGAAACUGUUUGACUAGAGUUGGAUAGAGGCAAGUGGAAUUCCAUGUGUAGCGGUAAAAUGCGUAAAUAUAUGGAGGAACACCAGUAGCGAAGGCGGCUUGCUGGGUCUUAACUGACGCUGAGGCACGAAAGCGUGGGGAGCAAACAGGAUUAGAUACCCUGGUAGUCCACGCCGUAAACGAUGAGUACUAAGUGUUGGGUUAAACCAGUGCUGAAGUUAACACAUUAAGUACUCCGCCUGAGUAGUACGUACGCAAGUAUGAAACUUAAAGGAAUUGACGGGACUCCGCACAAGCGGUGGAUCAUGUUGUUUAAUUCGAAGAUACACGAAAAACCUUACCAGGUCUUGACAUACUCUGCAAAGCUAUAGAAAUAUAGUGGAGGUUAUCAGGGAUACAGGUGGUGCAUGGUUGUCGUCAGCUCGUGUCGUGAGAUGUUGGGUUAAGUCCCGCAACGAGCGCAACCCUUAUCGCUAGUUACCAUCAUUUAGUUGGGCACUUUAGUGAGACUGCCAAUGAUAAAUUGGAGGAAGGUGGGGAUUACGUCAAAUCAUCAUGCCCCUUAUGACCUGGGCUACAAACGUGAUACAAUGGCUGUUACAAAGAGUAGCUGAAGCGUGAGUUUUUAGCAAAUCUCAAAAAAACAGUCUCAGUUCGGAUUGAAGUCUGCAACUCGACUUCAUGAAGUCGG